AUGCAAAAGUCGUAACACGGUUUCCGUAGGUGAACCUGCGGAAGGAUCAUUCACACAUUGCGUCUCAAAGCUGCUUUCGCGAUCACGCUGUAUUGCGUCGCAAUCUGCAAUCUUGGUUGCUAUUGUGGGGCAUAUUGUUGUGAUUCGUUUGGGAGUUUGCUGCGAGGAAACGCUUAUUACAAUCGUAUAUACCCAAUCAUUGAAUCUUUUAUUUCCCCACAACGUAUUUUUGAGGGAAUUUGAGAGUUUUCGGAGACAUGUGGUGCCUCAUUGUGAGUGGUGAGCAUUCGUUACUCUAUUGUGAGUAUCGUUGCGCAUCAUCACUGGAUUGUGGGUGCGUCGAGUCUAUAAUGAUCGUCUAAAUUGAAUAAAACUUUCAGCAAUGGAUGUCUUGGCUCACGCAUCGAUGAAGGACGCAGCGAAAUGCGAUACGCAUUGUGAAUUGCAGAUUUUAGUGAACCAUCAGAUUUCUGAACGCAUAUGGCGCUGUUGGGACUACCCAACAGCACGUCUGUUUCAGUGUCUUUUGACUCCUUCAAAAACUAUUCUGCCGAAGUAUCCUAUUCCUUUGCACAACACUGUUGUGCUUUGUGUUUAAGGUGCAUCUGGUGGUGUCGUCUGCGCGUCGAUGAUAGUGAUCUCUGUAUCAGCGUCGCGUGAAAUUCCUAAUAUAUUUCAACAAUUGUUGUUGUUGGCUUAUAUAAGCAGUCGUUUUGCGUUAUCCUUUCGUUAACGAAAGAGAUACGGUGGUUUAUCAUGACUCACUAAUAUCUCGUACAUGGGUAGCGUUGUAUCGGUUGCUGCUGACAAUACUUAUAUCUUUAGACCUGAAAUCAGUCGAGGUUACCCGCUGAAUUUAAGCAUAUUAUUAAGCGGAGGA
rnacentral:rRNA from 1 species